rnacentral:lncRNA from 1 species
AAAAAAAUCAAGCCAGGAUUUCCCAUUUGUGCUUGCUGUGUUUGGCCAAAGGUGACUCUAACUUAGUGGCCUGAGGUCAACCUCCCCCUCCCCCAAAUCAAUAAUUUAAUGUGACUUAUCAGAAAGAGAAAGAAGUGUUUACUUUAAAACCCUGGAUCCCAUAAAGGGAGAGGGGGAAAGGCUCAGGGGAACAGAUGCUCCAGAGGGCCCUGUUUUUGCCUUUGAGCUGCAGAAAGGUAAGCAAGGAGAAGGCUCCUGAGAGAGGGUGCAGCUAGCACUAAGAGAGAUACAGGGUGCGACAAGGCCUGGUCACCAUUCAGAUGAGAACUUGGGACAGACACUGCAAAGGAGAAGCUCCCCACCACGCAGCCACUCUUGGAGGUGGAUUCUUAACAAGUGAUAACUGCCACCCAGCUGGAAGAGUGGAGAGGUCUACACCUCCACUAUGGCCUCAAACAAUGAAAGGUAGCCACCAAUCUCCACUCAGUACAUUGAUCUUCAAGUAACCACCAACACUCUUACCUAACAGGCAGUUCACCGUCUUUCAGCUUCUUUUCCACAAUUCCCAGGUUCAAUUACAUUUACUGUAAAUCCUGAAAAGUUGCAUGAGAAAAACUAUACCUAAGAAAUCGUACUAAGUGGUAUAGUGUCGUUCAGCACCAACAAAUACUUGCUAACCAUCUCCUGUGUGCAAAGAUACCAUGCUGUUUCCUAGACAUACAAAAAUGAAAAAUCCCACUGUCCCUGUCUUCAAAGUGCUUUCAUUUCAUAUACUAAAAUGUGUGAGGGGUUUUGUUCUAGGUCCCCUGGGGAUAUAAAAACAUAUAUAAAACCCCAGUCAUAAUGGAUUAGGCACUUAUGUGUUUGUUAAAUGUGUUGAAUGCAACUGAACUAUGUGAAAGGUACAUGAGCCAUCACAGUUAUGCUUGCAUCCAUCCAUGUGAAUGCUGAGAUAUUACUAUGGCAAUAGGAAAGACGUAGAACUCAGUCUGGGCAAGUUUUAAGGAAGCUCAGAAUUGGAUGCCACUAAUAAGGGUCCAGAAAUUUCUAGAGGGUAAGAAUAAGAAAUAGUGAGAGUACAGGCUAUAUCUUUGCUCACUGAAGCU